rnacentral:rRNA from 1 species
GACAGAGGGGGCAAGCGUUGCUCGGAAUUACUGGGCGUAAAGGGCUCGUAGGCGGCCAACUAAGUCGGAUGUGAAAUCCCCAGGCUCAACUUGGGAACUGCAUCCGAUACUGGAUGGCUUGAAUCCGGGAGAGGGAUGCAGAAUUCCAGGUGUAGCGGUGAAAUGCGUAGGUAUCUGGAGGAAUACCGGUGGCGAAGGCGGCAUCCUGGACCGGCAUUGACGCUGAGGAGCGAAAGCCAGGGGAGCAAACGGG